rnacentral:snRNA from 1 species
UAAAAGACAAUGAAAGAAUAAAUAG